rnacentral:lncRNA from 1 species
AUGUUUUCAUACAAAUGCAUGUUCUUUUUCUUUCAGAUACUCAACUAUUUAUGCAUAACAAGAAUUAAUGGACCAUGGGGAAAAUCAGAAUAUAUACGAAAAUUCAUUCUCAUGGGAGUUUCUUCUGACCAGAACACAGGAUUGGGGACAAGACAAAUUGCUGACGCUCUCUGGCCACACAGAAAAUUAAGAAAAUGUAAGUUCAUAAAAGAGAUAUUAUUUUUCAGUAUCAGUCUCUGGUGAAUCAGUUAUUAUUGCCUCUCAACUCCAUCUCAUCCUUUCAUUACCUACCACGUAGUAGUGGAGUUGUAGGGAGCAUGCUGUGGAGCCAGUCUAUAGAGGGCACUGAAGGUAAAUUGCAGGAGGAAAAGUCUUUCCUCCUGGUUCUGGUGUUUUAGCUUUGGUUUCUUCUGGAUCCUGCUCCACUUGCAAAAACAUUCUACCUAAGUCUGCAAUUCCUCAGUAAACUCACAGCUCCAGGGCAAACCUGGUGAUCAUCUCACUGAACUCUGCUGACCCUCCAGAAGCAGACAUUUGCAGCCCAGCAUUUGUGGUUCCCUGUCCACAACAAAACUUCCAAAUCUCAAUUAAAUCUGAGUGCUCACCCCUCAGCAUGUGCAAGCCUACAUCCAAGAAAGUUCUUUUCUAGAGUCUUCCCUAAGAGUCCACUGCACAACCCAAGCCUCACACAGCUGUGCAUUGAGCUGGUUUUCUGCACUCAACAUGUGCAUUGCCUGCCACCAGCCUGAGCCACCCUGCCCUCUAGCGGCAGUUCCUGCUUUCUCAGGGACCAUGGCAGUUCUGGCUGGGGCUGCAACUGCAACUUCUCCAAUAAGGUCUAAAUCCCAUCCUUAUGGAGGUGUCUUCUCUUCCAAGUUCAUUCCUUGUGUACUCUUCCUCAAUCCUGGUUACUUUUAACACUUUUAUUGAAGUGUAAUUGACAUAAAAUCAAUUGUGAAUAUUUAAAGUGUACAAUUUGAUAAAUAUUGACAUGUGAAUACAGCUGAGAAACUAUCACCACAAUGAAGAUAGUGAGAGAAUCCAUCACUCUGAAAAAUUUCCUCUAUUCAUUAUAAUCCCCUCUCCUGUUCCAUAACAGGCACCUUUUCUAAGGCAAUUUUUGAUGUGCUUUUUGUCUCUGUAGAUUAGUUUGUGUUCUCUAGAUUUUUACAUAAAUUUAAUCAUACAGUACAUAUUCUAUGUUUCUUAGCUUCUUUCAACAUAAUUAUUUUUAGAUUAGUCCAUGUAAUUGCAAGCAUCAAUUAUUUCAUUCUAACUUCCUUUUUAUUUCUUCUUGACCCAUGAGGUUUUUUAGAAGUGUUAUCAAUUUCCAGAUAUAUUUGGAAAUACCAUAGAUUUAUUUUUAUUCUUUCUAAUUUGAUUCCAUUGUGGUCAAAGAGCACACUUGGAAAGACUAGAGGUCUUUUAAAUUUAUUGAGACUUGUUUGAUGGCCCACAAUAUGAUGUAUCUUGGUAAAUGUUUUGAGUAUACUUGAUAAGAAUGUGUCUUCUGCUAGAGUUAGAUGAAGUAUUUUACAAAGACAACUAAGUGAAGCCAGUUCAUAGUUUUGCUCAAGUCUGCUAAAUCUUUGCUGAUUCUCUGUCUACUUGAUCCACUAAUUAUUGACAGAUGAGUUCUGAAAUAUCCAACUAUGUUGUGAAUUUAUCUAUUUUUCCUUAAGAUUCAAUAAAUCGUUGUUUCAUGUAUUUUGAAGCA